rnacentral:misc_RNA from 1 species
UUUCCGUAGGUGAACCUGCGGAAGGAUCAUUAAUGAGUUGUCAUGGGGUUCGAUGCUGGCAGCCAAUUUUUGGAUGCAUGUGCUUGCCCUAACAAUCAUCUUCCAAACACCUGUGCACAUUUUUGAGGGAGUCUUGAGUUGGUUGCCGCUCUUGGGUGAUUUUCUCACUUUCCCUUAAAUCAUUAUACGCUAUUAACAAUGUUGAACGUGCUCUGUGCCGCAAGGCUAUUAAUAUAAUACAACUUUUAACAACGGAUCUCUUGGCUCUC